GAUUUGAUUUAGAUCAUUGACGUUCUACAUCCAAGAAGACCAAAUGUUUCCAAGGCGGAGCUGAAGGAAAAAUUGUCUAGGAUGUAUGAGGUGAAAGACCCAAAUGCCAUCUUUGUUUUUAAGUUACGGACCCAUUUUGGAGGAGGCAAAUCUACUGAUUUUGGUUUGAUUUAUGAUUCUGUUGAGAAUGCAAAGAAA